AACGAAUGCUGGCGGCACGCCUAACACAUGCAAGUCGAACGCGAGGGCACCUUCGGGUGUUAUUAGAGUGGCGGACGGGUGAGUAACACGUGGGAACAUGCCUAUCAGUAGAGGACAACCAUUGGAAACGAUGGCUAAUACUCUAUACGCCCUUAUGGGGAAAGAAUUUCGCUGAUAGAUUGGCCCGCGGUAGAUUAGCUAGUUGGUAAGGUAAAGGCUUACCAAGGCGACGAUCUAUAUCUGGUUUGAGAGGAUGAUCAGACACACUGGGACUGAGACACGGCCCAG
rnacentral:rRNA from 1 species